CCCUAGCGGGGUCAGGAUAAGUCGGUGAGUGCCUGAAUUCCAAAAAACCCCGACAGCC
rnacentral:sRNA from 1 species